UGUUUAAACAAGCCACAUCAUGUUAGAUAUUUAAGAUAUAUUUAAAUACAUGUAUUCUUAAAAUUUAUAGAAGGCAUUGGACCUACAGUAAAUAUUUUAUAGGCUAUUAUUUAAUGGUUAAAACCACUUGUUAAUAUUCCAUUUGACAUUGUCAGUGGGCAUUCAGGCAAGCCUGACUUGCUCCCACAUUUCUCUAUUCUCUUUAAGAUGGGACACUGACUCUGUCCUGAGGGAUUCCUCAGGAUGUAGUUUGAUUUUUAGAUCUUAUGAAAGGAGUGACUAACAUGUUCUGUGUAACAGCAUAGCCAAAAUGAGAGCUUAAAUCAUAAUUUCAUGGCUGGACUUACUUCACCAUGGGAUCCCAAAUUCCCUUGGGCUAGAUGGUGAAAGUGGCAUCUUAAGUUUAAAAGUGACUGUAUUUGAUUGCAUUAAGUUUUAAGUUGGUCAUGUAGGAGGCACUAAUUGUUAAAGUGAUCAUAUCAAUAGAAUUAAUAUAAUUAAAGAGGAGUAAAUGCUUUAACAUGGGAAGCAGUCCAUACAGCACACUCAUAGAAUGGCAAUUGCUCUAAGUAAAGCUCAGUGACCUCAGAGUCAUCCCUAAAGGCAUUCUGAUCUGGCUAAAAAGCCCACAAGAGCAUUUCAGGCAUGGAAAGUCAGGACACUUGUGCGAAAAGGUGUACCUACAGGGAGAGUCUCCCUGGGUGAGACUCCUGUGGAAAGAAGUGGUCAUCAAAGAAGGAUGUACUCUCUUCAAAGGGAGAACUUUCACUUUGCUUACGUCCUUCUCUAAAUAUUGACUGAGUUUGUGGAUUCAGAAGGCUUCCAUAGCCUAGACAGCUCAUGUCAAGAGCCUUGGGUGAUCACUGACAUCACACAAAAGAGUGUGAAUUGUUAAAUUAACCAUAGGAGUCACUGUGCACUAACUUCCCAUGCAGGACCUCAAGACUAUGCUUAAAAAAACAGAGGGGAGAGUAUGAUACCCCCACUAUUAGUGUAUUAACUUUGCUCCUUUCACCAUAAAGUUCUUAUAGGUCUCACCCCCUGGAGAGCCACCAGCAUUGAAACACUGGAGACCUCUCACAGAGAUCACUCUGCAGCCUGUGUGGAUAGCAGCCUGAAAUGCCAAACCCUGGACCCAGUCUCUGAAAGCUCACCCUCUGACAAGCCAACUUCAGCGCCUUUCCCUGAACAAGCCAUUCACAGAAAGAUCCUCUUCAGAUCAGCUACAGCUUAAAUGGAAGGGACCUUACCAGGUGCUACUGAACAUGACUACCUCAGUAAAAUUAGGAUUAAAUGUCUACCUCUCAAGUCCUAACAGGUGUACUCAAAAGACAUGCCUGAUUAUUCCUGUAAGCCAGAGAUCUUAAGCAAAAAGAAAAGUAAAGCCUUUGCUUUCCUCACAUCAAGAGUGCUGCACCUGAAGGCAGGCAUGGUGUACCUGCCUCUUUUGAUUCUCUGUUAUUAAUAAUAAAACUCCUAAUGUGUUCUUCUA